rnacentral:rRNA from 1 species
GAUGAACGCUGGCGGCGUGCCUAAUACAUGCAAGUCGAGCGAACGGACGAGAAGCUUGCUUCUCUGAUGUUAGCGGCGGACGGGUGAGUAACACGUGGAUAACCUACCUAUAAGACUGGGAUAACUUCGGGAAACCGGAGCUAAUACCGGAUGAUAUUUUGAACCGCAUGGUUCAAAAGUGAAAGACGGUCUUGCUGUCACUUAUAGAUGGAUCCGCGCUGCAUUAGCUAGUUGGUAAGGUAACGGCUUACCAAGGCAACGAUGCAUAGCCGACCUGAGAGGGUGAUCGGCCACACUGGAACUGAGACACGGUCCAGACUCCUACGGGAGGCAGCAGUAGGGGAUCUUCCGCAAUGGGCGAAAGCCUGACGGAGCAACGCCGCGUGAGUGAUGAAGGUCUUCGGAUCGUAAAACUCUGUUAUUAGGGAAGGACAUAUGUGUAAGUAACUGUGCACAUCUUGACGGUACCUAAUCAGAAAGCCACGGCUAACUACGUGCCAGCAGCCGCGGUAAUACGUAGGUGGCAAGCGUUAUCCGGAAUUAUUGGGCGUAAAGCGCGCGUAGGCGGUUUUUUAAGUCUGAUGUGAAAGCCCACGGCUCAACCGUGGAGGGUCAUUGGAAACUGGAAAACUUGAGUGCAGAAGAGGAAAGUGGAAUUCCAUGUGUAGCGGUGAAAUGCGCAGAGAUAUGGAGGAACACCAGUGGCGAAGGCGACUUUCUGGUCUGUAACUGACGCUGAUGUGCGAAAGCGUGGGGAUCAAACAGGAUUAGAUACCCUGGUAGUCCACGCCGUAAACGAUGAGUGCUAAGUGUUAGGGGGUUUCCGCCCCUUAGUGCUGCAGCUAACGCAUUAAGCACUCCGCCUGGGGAGUACGACCGCAAGGUUGAAACUCAAAGGAAUUGACGGGGACCCGCACAAGCGGUGGAGCAUGUGGUUUAACUCGAAGCAACGCGAAGAACCUUACCAAAUCUUGACAUCCUUUGACAACUCUAGAGAUAGAGCCUUCCCCUUCGGGGGACAAAGUGACAGGUGGUGCAUGGUUGUCGUCAGCUCGUGUCGUGAGAUGUUGGGUUAAGUCCCGCAACGAGCGCAACCCUUAAGCUUAGUUGCCAUCAUUAAGUUGGGUACUCUAAGUUGACUGCCGGUGACAAACCGGAGGAAGGUGGGGAUGACGUCAAAUCAUCAUGCCCCUUAUGAUUUGGGCUACACACGUGCUACAAUGAACAAUACAAAGGGUAGCGAAAUCGCGAGGUCAAGCAAAUCCCAUAAAGUUGUUCUCAGUUCGGAUUGUAGUCUGCAACUCGACUACAUGAAGCUGGAAUCGCUAGUAAUCGUAGAUCAGCAUGCUACGGUGAAUACGUUCCCGGGUCU